rnacentral:rRNA from 1 species
GACGAACGCUGGCGGCGUGCUUAACACAUGCAAGUCGAACGGAAAGGCCCUGCUUUUGUGGGGUGCUCGAGUGGCGAACGGGUGAGUAACACGUGAGUAACCUGCCCUUGACUUUGGGAUAACUUCAGGAAACUGGGGCUAAUACCGGAUAGGAGCUCCUGCUGCAUAGUGGGGGUUGGAAAGUUUCGGCGGUUGGGGAUGGACUCGCGGCUUAUCAGCUUGUUGGUGGGGUAGUGGCUUACCAAGGCUUUGACGGGUAGCCGGCCUGAGAGGGUGACCGGCCACAUUGGGACUGAGAUACGGCCCAGACUCCUACGGGAGGCAGCAGUGGGGAAUAUUGCACAAUGGGCGGAAGCCUGAUGCAGCAACGCCGGGUGCGGGAUGACGGCCUUCGGGUUGUAAACCGCUUUCGCCUGUGACGAAGCGUGAGUGACGGUAAUGGGUAAAGAAGCACCGGCUAACUACGUG